rnacentral:rRNA from 1 species
UACGGGGGGAGCAAGUGUUGUUCGGAUUUACUGGGCGUAAAGGGCGCGUAGGCGGUCAGCACAAGUCAGUUGUGAAAUCUCCGGGCUUAACUCGGAAAGGUCAACUGAUACUGUGCGACUAGAGUGCGGAAGGGGCAACUGGAAUUCUCGGUGUAGCGGUGAAAUGCGUAGAUAUCGAGAGGAACACCUGCGGCGAAGGCGGGUUGCUGGGCCGACACUGACGCUGAUGCGCGAAAGCCAGGGGAGCGAACGGG